rnacentral:rRNA from 1 species
CCUACGGGUGGCAGCAGUGGGGGAUAUUGCACAAUGGGGGAAACCCUGAUGCAGCGACGCCGCGUGUGGGAAGACGGUCCUCUGGAUUGUAAACCACUGUCCCCAGGGACGAAGAUGACGGUACCUGGGGAGGAAGCUCCGGCUAACUACGUGCCGGCAGCCGCGGUAAUACGUAGGGAGCGAGCGUUGUCCGGAAUUACUGGGUGUAAAGGGAGCGUAGGCGGGGAUGCAAGUUGGGUGUCAAAACUACCGGCUAAACUGGUAGUCGCACCCAAAACUGCAGCUCUUGAGUGAAGUAGCGGCAGGCGGAAUGUGUAGUGUAGCGGUGAAAUGCGUAGAUAUUAGGCGGAACACCAGUGGCGAAGGCGGCCUGCUGGGCUUGUACUGACGCUGAGGCUCGAAAGUGUGGGGAGCAAACAGGAUUAGAUACCCUAGUAGUC